rnacentral:rRNA from 1 species
GAUGCCCUGGCAGUCAGAGGCGAUGAAGGACGUGCUAAUCUGCGAUAAGCGUCGGUAAGGUGAUAUGAACCGUUAUAACCGGCGAUUUCCGAAUGGGGAAACCCAGUGUGUUUCGACACACUAUCAUUAACUGAAUCCAUAGGUUAAUGAGGCGAACCGGGGGAACUGAAACAUCUAAGUACCCCGAGGAAAAGAAAUCAACCGAGAUUCCCCCAGUAGCGGCGAGCGAACGGGGAGCAGCCCAGAGCCUGAAUCAGUAUGUGUGUUAGUGGAAGCGUCUGGAAAGGCGCGCGAUACAGGGUGACAGCCCCGUACACAAAAAUGCACAUGCUGUGAGCUCGAUGAGUAGGGCGGGACACGUGGUAUCCUGUCUGAAUAUGGGGGGACCAUCCUCCAAGGCUAAAUACUCCUGACUGACCGAUAGUGAACCAGUACCGUGAGGGAAAGGCGAAAAGAACCCCGGCGAGGGGAGUGAAAAAGAACCUGAAACCGUGUACGUACAAGCAGUGGGAGCACGCUUAGGCGUGUGACUGCGUACCUUUUGUAUAAUGGGUCAGCGACUUAUAUUCUGUAGCAAGGUUAACCGAAUAGGGGAGCCGAAGGGAAACCGAGUCUUAACUGGGCGUUAAGUUGCAGGGUAUAGACCCGAAACCCGGUGAUCUAGCCAUGGGCAGGUUGAAGGUUGGGUAACACUAACUGGAGGACCGAACCGACUAAUGUUGAAAAAUUAGCGGAUGACUUGUGGCUGGGGGUGAAAGGCCAAUCAAACCGGGAGAUAGCUGGUUCUCCCCGAAAGCUAUUUAGGUAGCGCCUCGUGAAUUCAUCUCCGGGGGUAGAGCACUGUUUCGGCAAGGGGGUCAUCCCGACUUACCAACCCGAUGCAAACUGCGAAUACCGGAGAAUGUUAUCACGGGAGACACACGGCGGGUGCUAACGUCCGUCGUGAAGAGGGAAACAACCCAGACCGCCAGCUAAGGUCCCAAAGUCAUGGUUAAGUGGGAAACGAUGUGGGAAGGCCCAGACAGCCAGGAUGUUGGCUUAGAAGCAGCCAUCAUUUAAAGAAAGCGUAAUAGCUCACUGGUCGAGUCGGCCUGCGCGGAAGAUGUAACGGGGCUAAACCAUGCAC